AGUGUGCAGCGCUUAAGGGAGAAAGAUUUCAACAUCCCGCCAUGUUGGUGUGGAGAUGUUUGCAAGGUGAAGGUGUCCACCGACCAAAAGAAAUCAUGGACAGAAGGGCGGAGAUAUUUUGUAUGCCCAAACUAUGCUUAUGAUCGUGCACUUCCAACUAAUGCCUAUGACCAACCACCGGUAAGCUCGAGAAGUAAAAUGUCACUCUCAAAUGUGUGUCAACACUAA
rnacentral:rRNA from 1 species